AGUGCAGGUGUGUAUGUGUCGAGAUUGAGAGAAGUCUCUAUUUCACAAGAACACAAAAAUUCUGCAAAUCAUAAGGAGAACUAGGAUGAAAUCCUUGCAUGUUCACGAAAUUCUCGUCAUCUAGUCACUACAAACCUAAGGGAACUUAAGCGAAGCUUCGGGAAGCCAAGCCGGGAAGGAAGCUCGUCAAAAAAGGGAACCUCUAAUGUAAAUUAGAAAUGAGUCACCGGAUGGAAGAUCAAGCUACGUGAAGAACCGAACACCCCGGAAAGCUUACUAAUUCCCGCCAUUUGUUUAUGUUUCCUUGAGAUUUUAAAAUGAUGACUUGAAUUUUGUAAUUCAAACUAUUACUAUUACGGCACAUUAUAACAAAAUUGUUUAGUGAA